rnacentral:rRNA from 1 species
UACGUAGGGUGCAAGCGUUGUCCGGAAUUAUUGGGCGUAAAGAGCUCGUAGGCGGUUUGUUGCGUCGGCUGUGAAAACCCGGGGCUCAACUCCGGGCCUGCAGCCGAUACGGGCAGACUAGAGUUCGGCAGGGGAGACUGGAAUUCCUGGUGUAGCGGUGAAAUGCGCAGAUAUCAGGAGGAACACCGGUGGCGAAGGCGGGUCUCUGGGCCGAUACUGACGCUGAGACGCGAAAGCGUGGGGAGCAAACAGG